UUGAGACGAGGUUCCCUAUGUCUUUGAUGUAGUUUAUUUUUCCCUUAUCACUGGCAUGGCUCAUCGCUUCCCUUUUUCUCUUCCCCCUUUUUUUUUGUGUUCGAGUGAGGAUUUUCCCUCUGCUCUUAACAGGGUUGUAGGAGUGUAAAGGAGCCGUUGAGGAGGCUUUCCUCCUUAUCCGAUCUUGAACGAUCAGGUCUUCGUUUAUGUCAGGAUGAGGUUCUCCUC
rnacentral:lncRNA from 1 species